ACGGGGCUAAACCAUGCACCGAAGCUGCGGCAGCGACGCUGAUGCGUUGUUGGGUAGGGGAGCGUUCUGUAAGCCUGCGAAGGUGGCCUGUGAGGGUUGCUGGAGGUAUCAGAAGUGCGAAUGCUGACAUAAGUAACGAUAAAGCGGGUGAAAAGCCCGCUCGCCGGAAGACCAAGGGUUCCUGUCCAACGUUAAUCGGGGCAGGGUGAGUCGACCCCUAAGGCGAGGCCGAAAGGCGUAGUCGAUGGGAAACGGGUUAAUAUUCCCGUACUUGGUGUUACUGCGAAGGGGGGACGGAGAAGGCUAUGUUGGCCGGGCGACGGUUGUCCCGGUUUAAGCGUGUAGGUGUGUGUUCCAGGUAAAUCCGGUUCACUUUAACACUGAGGCGUGAUGACGAGGCACUACGGUGCUGAAGCAACAAAUGCCCUGCUUCCAGGAAAAGCCUCUAAGCAUCAGGUAACAUCAAAUCGUACCCCAAACCGACACAGGUGGUCAGGUAGAGAAUACCAAGGCGCUUGAGAGAACUCGGGUGAAGGAACUAGGCAAAAUGGUGCCGUAACUUCGGGAGAAGGCACGCUGACACGUAGGUGAAGUGAUUUACUCAUGGAGCUGAAGUCAGUCGAAGAUACCAGCUGGCUGCAACUGUUUAUUAAAAACACAGCACUGUGCAAACACGAAAGUGGACGUAUACGGUGUGACGCCUGCCCGGUGCCGGAAGGUUAAUUGAUGGGGUCAGCGCAAGCGAAGCUCCUGAUCGAAGCCCCGGUAAACGGCGGCCGUAACUAUAACGGUCCUAAGGUAGCGAAAUUCCUUGUCGGGUAAGUUCCGACCUGCACGAAUGGCGUAAUGAUGGCCAGGCUGUCUCCACCCGAGACUCAGUGAAAUUGAACUCGCUGUGAAGAUGCAGUGUACCCGCGGCAAGACGGAAAGACCCCGUGAACCUUUACUAUAGCUUGACACUGAACAUUGAGCCUUGAUGUGUAGGAUAGGUGGGAGGCUUUGAAGUGUGGACGCCAGUCUGCAUGGAGCCGACCUUGAAAUACCACCCUUUAAUGUUUGAUGUUCUAACGUGGACCCGUGAUCCGGGUUGCGGACAGUGUCUGGUGGGUAGUUUGACUGGGGCGGUCUCCUCCUAAAGAGUAACGGAGGAGCACGAAGGUUGGCUAAUCCUGGUCGGACAUCAGGAGGUUAGUGCAAUGGCAUAAGCCAGCUUGACUGCGAGCGUGACGGCGCGAGCAGGUGCGAAAGCAGGUCAUAGUGAUCCGGUGGUUCUGAAUGGAAGGGCCAUCGCUCAACGGAUAAAAGGUACUCCGGGGAUAACAGGCUGAUACCGCCCAAGAGUUCAUAUCGACGGCGGUGUUUGGCACCUCGAUGUCGGCUCAUCACAUCCUGGGGCUGAAGUAGGUCCCAAGGGUAUGGCUGUUCGCCAUUUAAAGUGGUACGCGAGCUGGGUUUAGAACGUCGUGAGACAGUUCGGUCCCUAUCUGCCGUGGGCGCUGGAGAACUGAGGGGGGCUGCUCCUAGUACGAGAGGACCGGAGUGGACGCAUCACUGGUGUUCGGGUUGUCAUGCCAAUGGCACUGCCCGGUAGCUAAAUGCGGAAGAGAUAAGUGCUGAAAGCAUCUAAGCACGAAACUUGCCCCGA
rnacentral:rRNA from 1 species